rnacentral:lncRNA from 1 species
CCGCCGCGCGCCGCUGAGUUGUCUGGCCCCGCCGACCCACGGCCCACGACCCACCGACCCACGAAUCGGCCCGGCCGUCGCGUGCACCAUGUCUGGCUCCUCCAGCGUCGCCGCUAUGAAGAAAGUGGUUCAACAGCUCCGGCUGGAGGCCGGACUCAACCGCGUAAAAGUUUCCCAAACCACUCCUUAUGAUCCAGUGAAUAUUCAAGAGAGCUACAUUUGAAGCCUGUACAAAAGCUUAUCCCUGUAACACAUGUGCCAUAAUAUACAAACUUCUACUUUCGUCAGUCCUUAACAUCUACCUCUCUGAAUUUUCAUGAAUUUCUAUUUCACAAGGGUAAUUGUUUUAUAUACACUGGCAGCAGCAUACAAUAAAACUUAGUAUGAAA